rnacentral:rRNA from 1 species
UACGUAGGGGGCGAGCGUUGUCCGAAGUUACUGGGCGUAAAGCGCGCGUAGGCGGUUUCUUAAGUCUGGGGUGAAAGGUUCAGCGCUCAACGCGAACAGUGCCUUGGAUACUGGGAGACUUGAGUCUGGGAGGGGGCAGUGGAAUUCCUGGUGUAGCGGUGAAAUGCGUAGAUAUCGGGAGGAACACCAAUGGCGAAGGCAGCUCGCUGGGACGUGACUGACGCUGAGACGCGAAAGCGUGGGGAGCAAACAGG